rnacentral:rRNA from 1 species
UACGAAGGAUCCAAGCGUUGUCCGGAUUUACUGGGUUUAAAGGGAGCGUAGGCGGACGAUUAAGUCAGUGGUGAAAGCUUGCAGCUUAACUGUAAAAUUGCCAUUGAAACUGAUCGUCUUGAAUAUGGUUGAGGUGGUUGGAAUAUAUCAUGUAGCGGUGAAAUGCUUAGAUAUGAUAUAGAACACCGAUUGCGAAGGCAGAUCACUAAACCAUAAUUGACGCUGAGGCUCGAAAGCGUGGGGAUCAAACAGG